rnacentral:rRNA from 1 species
UUUAGGGCGUGUUUUUGUAUUUUCAAACAUGAGGCCUGUGGAAGGCAGAGAGCAAGGAGGCGAUGGCGGCGACCAUGGUGGCCAAGUUCCUGGCCUGGUGGAGGUGCGCAACCUCAAGGCUGUUGGCACCGGUAGCGGAGAAGCUAGAGAGCCUAGAGAGGUGGGGCUGGAGGAGCAGCCCACACAAGCUGCUGUCAGGUCUCGGAGCCUCCCCUUGGCUCCAGCCAGAGGGUGGGCACUGGCGGCUUUAGUGACUCUAGAUAACCUCGGGCCGAUUGCAUGCCACCCGUGGCGGCGAUGACCCAUUCAAACAUCUGCCCUAUCAACUUUCGAUGGUAGUCACCGUGCCUACCAUGGUGACCACGGGUGAUGGGGAAUCAGGGUUCAAUUCCAGAGAGGGAGCCUGAGAAACGGCUACCACUUCCAAGGAAGGCAGCAGGUGUGCAAAUUACCCACUCCCAAAUUGGGGAGGCAGUGAUGAAAAAUAACAAUACAGGACUCUUUCAAGGCCCUGUAAUUGGAAUGAGUCCACUUUAAAUCCUUGAGCGAGGAUUGAUUGGAGGGCAAGUCUGGUGCCAGCAGCCACAGUAAUUUCAGCUCCAAUAGCAUAUAUUAAAGUUGCUGCAGUUAAAAAGCUCAUAGUUGGAUCUUGGGAGUGGGCGGGCAAUCCGCUGUGAGGCAAGCCACGGCCUGUCCCUGCCCCUUGCCUCUCGGCGCCCCCUCGAUGCUCUUAGGAGUGUCCCGUGGGGCCUGAAGCAUUUACUUUAAAAAAAUUAGAGUGUGCAAAGCAGGCCUGAGCUGCCUGGAUACCACAGCUAGGAAUAAUGGAAUAGGACGGUGGUUCUAUUUUGUUGUUUUUCGGAACCAAGGCCAUAAUUAAGACGGACGGCCAGGGGCAUUUAUAUUGCACCACUAGAGGUGAAAUUCUUGGACCGGUGCAAGACAGACCAGAGCGAAAGCAUUUGUCAAGAAUGUUUUCAUUAAUCAAGAACAAAAGUCGGAUGUUCGAAGACGAUCAGAUACCGUCAUUGUUGCAACCAUAAAUGAUGUCGACUAGCAAAGCGGUAGUGUUAUUCCCAUUACCCAUUGGGCAGCUUCUGGGAAACCAAAGUCUUUGGGUUCCGGGGGGAGUAUGGUUGCAAAGCUGAAACUUAAAGGAAUUAAUGGAAGGGCACCACCAGGAGUGGAGCCUGUGGCUUAAUUUGACUCAACACAGGAAACCUCAACCUGCCCGGACAGGAUUGACAGAUAGCUCUUUCUCGAUUCCAUGGGUGGUGGUGCAUGGCUGUUCUUAGUUGGUGGAGCGACUUGUCUGGUUAAUUCCUAUAAGGAAUGAGACUCUGGCAUGCUAACUAGUUACGUGAGCCCUGAGCGGUCAGCAUCCCCCAACCUCUUAGAGGGACAACUGGCAUUCAGCCACCCGAGAUUGAGCAGUAACAGAUCUGGGAUGCCCUUAGAUGUCCAGGGCUGCAUGCGUGCUACACUGACUGGCUCAGUGUGGGCCUUCCCUAUGCCGGCAGGCGCAGGUAACCUGGUGAACCCCAUUCAUGAUGGGGAUCGGGUUGCAAUUACUCCCCAUGAACGAGGAAUUCCAGGUAAGUGGGGUCAUAAGGUUGCGUUGAUUAAGUCCCUGCCCUUUGUACACACAGCCCAUUGCUACUAUCUAUUGGAUGGUUUAGUGAGGCCCUCGGGUCGGCCCACGGCUCUGGUGGAGUGCUGAGAAGAUUGUAGAACUUGACUAUCUAGAAGAAGUAAAAGUCAUAACAAGGUUUCCCUAGGUAAACCUCUGGAAG